rnacentral:lncRNA from 1 species
AAUAGAAGAAGAUUAUUGAAAAAUUCGUUCUCGUUUAAACUAGCCUAACGGCAUGACUGAACAUAAUAAGCCAUAAAUACACUAAAUUAACACAGAACUUCUAAAAGAAACAGCCAACAUUCAAUAAAAGAAAACUAAUGUUCAUCUUCGAAAUCUCCAAUCGAUUACAUAGCUCCAAACUUGCAUUUCACACAUUUAGGGAGUCCAAGAAGUACCUGGGUGCAGAAAUUAGAGCAAGAAAAGAUGAAGAAAUCAGUAGCAAUAGAAUAGUGUCAAUCAGCAACUCAACAACAACAAAUUCAAUUUCCUUGAACCAUUUUUCGAACCCAGAUCAACUAAGAGGUCUUUGAGGUGUUAAAAUGACUCAUAGUAUACCCAAAAUGUAAUUCCAAGCAGUUUUUAACCAAGCCUGAUGCAGAGAAUUUUUCAGUCUUUUAGGGUGUGAAUCCAUCUGUACUGAAUGAGGGAAAGGCCUUAUAUAUAAGGCAGAAGUCUGUUGUGUGCCUUCCAAUACAAGGCAAUGGGAUUUUUU